ensembl:lncRNA
AGUAAGACCUGGCACUGCCUCUGAAGGAAAACAAACAGAAUCUUCCCACACCUUCCCUUGGGUUCUUAAAAAAAAAAAAAAAUCGACCAUCUCUAGAAAAAUAAUGAUUUCCGUAACAACAACUCUGUCAACACGGAAUGGGUGGAAUCAGAGAGCAAGGUCGUGGAAAGCAGUUUCCGAAAGCCGCCCGUCGCAUCCCGCGAGGGCGGGCCGCCAGUCUCUAAAAAGGUUGUGCAAAAAUACAUUAUUUCUUCUUCUUCUUUUUUAAUAUAUAAAAUAGAGUGCCGGGAAGGGACCAGAUCCACGCGGCGAGGCAUCAGCAGGCCAGGAGGAGGCAGCGGGGGCGCCCAGAGCUCUCCGGAAUCGCGCAGGUGCCCAGCAGCCGGCGGCUCGGAGAGCAAGCCAGGGAAGAGGGACGCGAGACAAGACUUAAGGCAGCACGCGCCGCAGGGCGUCUACGGGGACACCGCCCAGGGCGCGACCCUGGCCAGCGCUCCGGCCGCCGCCCCCGCCCCGCCCCCGGGGGAGGGGGGCUCACGAGCACGCGUUCUGCUGGAUGUACAUCUUGGACAGGGACACGGCCAUGGACCUGGCCAGCUCCUCGUCGCGCUGCCGCUGCGCCUGCGUCUGCCGGCACCAGCGCUCGUACUCCGGGUUGGGGGUAGCAGCGGUCGAACACCGCGUCGUAGUGGCCGUUGCUGAGCCAGCUGAGCCAGAUGCUGGGCCUCAGGGCGUCCUCGGGGCCCCAGGUAGUGGACCAUGGUGGACACGGUGGGGCUCUCCCAGCGGCCCCCCGUCGUCAGGUGGAUGUUGAGGUUCAGCAUGCGCCCAUGGCCAGCAGCUCGGGGUAGCCGGCCCAGGCGCCGUCCUGCGCGGCGGCCACGGAGGAACUCGCCCACGUCGCCCUCGAUGAGCGGCCCGAAGUG